rnacentral:lncRNA from 1 species
AUGAAAGAAGUAAUACCUUAUGUCAACGAGCACUAGAUCGGGCAGUAGGUCCUGAGGUUCCAAUAGCAAGAUCCUUAGAUUCCAAGGAGUAGAGAAUGCUUCACAGAGUUGCUGGAAAUGGAGUUAUUUCCUUGUUCUUGACAUCUUCUCAUUCUAACAAGAAAUCAACCUCAUUCCACGAAUGACAGCUUCACGAGAUAAUAAAUCCCCUGUCUUUCUGACAAUCUGUAAAACAAUAUCUAUGUAGUUGUACAGGUUAAGCACAGUAUCUUUAGGGUACCAUUCCAAUAGAUUAGGCAAUCCCCAAAAAUAAC